rnacentral:lncRNA from 1 species
CAGAUGCACAUGCUGUGUGCCAUUGGAUCCAAUUCUGUGCUAUAUCCAAAUGUAUAAAUAAAAAACAAAACAGAAGUGUAGAUGAUCUCUUCUCAGGACUCAUUUGCAUCUGUAAAUGAAUGUGAGAGUGUGCUGGAGAGCUGGUCCAGCCUUCCAAUAACAACAUGUCCUGGCUCUAUGAAAAAACUGAUCUGUGAAGCUGCAGAUUGAGGACUGAUUGCUUUGAGAAUACUGAACUUAACAAAUCAGGAGUGGAAAUUUUUUGGAAGCUGAGGCAUGGACUUGGAGUGGUUGAGAUAUUUAAGAUUCAUAUUUUUCAAUCUGUUGAUGAACAAGAUAUUGGAAUUCUGACUUGGUGAGGCAAGUGGGCAUCGUAUACACCUAAUCCUAUGUGGAAGAGCCUUCAUCCAGUAGCUGUUCGAAGCAGAAACAGGCACCCAUAUCUAAGCACUGAACCAUACUCCUGGUAUCCAGUUGUUGAGAAGGAGGAGGGAUGAGCAAAGGAGCCAAGAUGGUGCUGCAGAAACCCACAGAAACAGUUGACCUGACCUACUGAGAGCAUGAAGACCCUAGUCAUAAAGCUGGAGAAACAACAUUGGAUCAGACCAAGCCCUCUGAAUGUGGGUGCCAGCUAGGAGGCCAAGGCAGUCUAUGGGACCUCUAACAGUGGAGCCAGUCUUUAACCCUAGAGCAUAAAUGGACUUUGGGAGCCCAUUUCCUAUGGAGGGAUACUAUUGCAGCCCAGAUACAGCAAGGAGGGCCUAGGCCUUUCCCAAAAAGGAUAUGACAGACUUUGAAGGUCUCUGGUGG